GACGAACGCUGGCGGCGUGCUUAACACAUGCAAGUCGAACGGAAAGGCCCUGCUUGCAGGGUACUCGAGUGGCGAACGGGUGAGUAACACGUGGGUGAUCUGCCCUGCACUUCGGGAUAAGCCUGGGAAACUGGGUCUAAUACCGGAUAUGACCUUCCAUGUAGUGUGGGGGGUGGAAAGAUUUAUCGGUGUGGGAUGAGCCCGCGGCCUAUCAGCUUGUUGGUGGGGUAAUGGCCUACCAAGGCGUCGACGGGUAGCCGGCCUGAUAGGGUGGACGGCCACAUUGGGACUGAGAUACGGCCCAGACUCCUACGGGAGGCAGCAGUGGGGAAUAUUGCACAAUGGGCGGAAGCCUUAUGCAGCGACGCCGCGUGGGGGAUGACGGCCUUCGGGUUGUAAACCUCUUUCGACAGGGACGAAGCUUCGGUGACGGUACCUGUAUAAGAAGCACCGGCUAACUACGUG
rnacentral:rRNA from 1 species